UGGGGAAUAUUGGACAAUGGGCGAAAGCCUGAUCCAGCCAUGCCGCGUGUGUGAAGAAGGUCUUCGGAUUGUAAAGCACUUUAAGUUGGGAGGAAGGGUUGUAGAUUAAUACUCUGCAAUUUUGACGUUACCGACAGAAUAAGCACCGGCUAACUCUGUGCCAGCAGCCGCGGUAAUACAGAGGGUGCAAGCGUUAAUCGGAAUUACUGGGCGUAAAGCGCGCGUAGGUGGUUAGUUAAGUUGGAUGUGAAAUCCCCGGGCUCAACCUGGGAACUGCAUUCAAAACUGACUGACUAGAGUAUGGUAGAGGGUGGUGGAAUUUCCUGUGUAGCGGUGAAAUGCGUAGAUAUAGGAAGGAACACCAGUGGCGAAGGCGACCACCUGGACUGAUACUGACACAGAGGUGCGAAAGCGUGGGGAGCAAACA
rnacentral:rRNA from 1 species